GCUUUAAUAAAUCGAGGAGUAAAUUUAGAUCCAGUUGGAAAAUGGACUAAAGUCGGAUUAGUUAUUUAUGAUUCCCAAGUUCCAAUAGGUGCAACGCCAGAAUAUUUAGCUGGCCAUUACAUAUUACAAGGUGCAGCUUCACUUCUUCCUGUAAUGGCACUUGCACCACAAGAGAAUGAAAGAGUUUUGGAUUUAUGUGCAGCACCAGGUGGAAAAACAACACACAUUGCUGCUAUAAUGAAAAACACUGGGGUUAUAUUUGCAAAUGAUGUUCAUAAAGAUAGAGCAAAAGCUAUUGUUGGUAAUUUACAUCGAUUAGGUAUCACCAAUUGCAUUGUUAGUUGUUAUGAUGGCAGGCAGUUUCCUAAGGU